rnacentral:rRNA from 1 species
AUGGCGACGGUUCGUUGUACACGCACCCUGCUCCAGCGAACGCAGGCGGCGGUCGCGGAGGAGGGACGCCGGCUCGUGCCAAGCAGGUUCAUGCGCUCGCGCCAGCUCUCCAGCCAGGUCUCCAGCGAGCAUGCUGGCAAGUCCCCUGCAUUGGAAUCUGAACUGGACAUGAAGAUGAAGAAGCUUGCGGCCUCGAUGGCUCGGUUGAAGAACACUCCAGGACCAGAUGCCUCUAAGUUGCGCUUGAUGUCUUACGGACGUGCGGCUAAUAGUGUGGUCGAUGGAGCUGUCAACUUUGCAAUUUUCUGUAUCAUUUCUGCUGCUGUUUAUCGUCGCUACAGCGAGAAGGGGGUAGAAGCCCAGGCUAUUACCAAGGGAAGCUCGUGA